rnacentral:tRNA from 1 species
CCGCCCUUAGCUCAAUGGUUAGAGCACGGAGCUUAUACCUCCGUGGUUCCUGGUUCGAGUCCAGGAGGGCGGA